AUUAUUUUCAGGGGUAGUAUAGUGAAUCAAGAAAAUAAGAACAGAAAUAAAAGAGCACAAACAUGACACUUUAAUGUACUGAGAUGAAUUAAUGAAUAAUCCAUUCAUGUUGCAUUGAUUAUUAAUGAGUAAUUUGUUCAUUUUAACUGAAAAACAUCCUUAAUCUCUACAUCAGCAGCUCUGAGUCCCAUGAGUCUCUGCUCCAGUCAACAGAAGAUCACAAUCCUCUCUUCAUUCACAUGUGAACUGACUAGAACUGAGUCAAACAUCAGCACACACUCAAUACACACAGCUGCAUGUAGACCUGAUUCUGUUUUACUCUCAAUAAAACUGUCCAGAGCAUUUCAUUAAUACACUAAAGAUACUGUUUUAUGUGAUCUGCAAGAGAAUCUGUGAAGUCAUCUGCAUAACUAGUCAUUUUACUUCACUCAGAAACAAAUCCUGUCCACUUGUUGCUUCCAAAACAAGAUUAUUUGCACUUUUGAAAAUGUGCUUGAUACUUGUUCUUUCUUUCUCUAAGUUUCUCUUGUUUCAGAUGUAUUGUAGUGCAAACUAACAGCAUGUGUCUUCCCCCAUAAGAAGAAACUUCCUCUUUCCUCAGUGAAGCGGUCAGAGGUUUCCUCGUGUGUCAGUCCAGUGUGAGUCUCGCCGUGAAGACGCUUGUCUUGAUGAGAGCCAGAACACAGACGAUCUGAAGCAGCGUCACACUCUUCUGCUGGGAUUGAGUUCUUCUGAAACUGGACUUUAGAGAAAUGAUGCUCAUCUUUGGACUGAUGCUGCUGCUGCUGCAGACUGCUGCAUGUCUGGAGUUAAACUGCAGUUUUGAUCGGUCUGAUCCCUGUUACACAGCUCUGGGACACAAAUUCAAUCUGAUGAUGGUGCGGGAUGCUAGUAAAUAUGACCUGCAGUUAAAAAAGAGAAUAAACAACAACACAGCAGAUGGUCCACUUUGUAGAGUAAAGAAUUACAGAAUGAGGGAAUGUGAUCUUUAUAAUAACAGACCUGAAGUGACAGUCAUUAAUGGGACUCUGAUAAUAAACCGUGUGAUCAGAACAGAUUCAGGGAAUUACAGAUUAAUACUCUCUGACUCAGGCGGCUCAGAAACAUCUAGAGAUCUUCAGGUGAUUGUUGAAGCUCCUAUUGGCUCAGUGGAAGUGUCAAUCAUCUGCUUCUCCAGUGGGGUGAUGAGGGUGUUCUGCUCCUCUGAGGGGGAUCAGCUCCUCUACAGCUGGACUCUGAAUGGAGGUCCACUGAUGGAUGGAAACAGCAGCAUUGAUCUGGAUGAGAGAACUGAUGGAGACAUCAGCUGCAGCGUGAAGAACCACGUCAGUCACGCACAGAAGACCAUUACACUCACACCCUGUCCUGGUCUGGAUCAGCUCUGCACAUUUGAUGAACCAUAUUCGAUCAAACAAUGUUACGCAGCUCUGGGACACAAACUCAAUCUGCAGAUGAUGCUGAACCCUUCAUAUACUGAACUUGAUUUGUAUAAGAUGUUAAAUGAUGGCAGUACACUGAAAGUUUUUAGCAUAGAGAAAAAUAAAAAGUAUGAUUAUGAAUCCAUCAUAUUUGAGUACUUAAAAAAUGUGCCUCUGAUCAUAAAUACACAUGAAUCCAUCAGAAACAGAUCUGAGUUCUUCUUUGAUAAUAUGACUCUGACCAUAAACAAUGUGACCAGAGCAGAUUCAGGAAGAUACACAUCAUUUGUCAUUGAGAUAGAUAUGGCAAUGGAAAGUGAUCUUCAAGUGAUUGUUGAAGGUAUAGAAGCUCUCAGCAAUAUAUUUUAUUUUAGAAAUGCUUUGAGAUUGACACUGAUAACAUGUUGA
ensembl:lncRNA